rnacentral:rRNA from 1 species
CUUGUCGGGUAAGUUCCGACCUGCACGAAUGGAGUAAUGAUGGCCACACUGUCUCCUCCAGAGACUCAGCGAAGUUGAAAUGUUUGUGAUGAUGCAAUCUCCCCGCGGAAAGACGGAAAGACCCCAUGAACCUUUACUGUAGCUUUACAUUGGACUUUGAACAGAUCUGUGUAGGAUAGGUGGGAGGCUUUGAAGUAAGGUCGCUAGAUCUUAUGGAGCCGACGUUGAAAUACCACCCUGGUGUGU